UCAGGAUGAACGCUAGCGGCAGGCUAACACAUGCAAGUCGAGGGGCAGCGCGGAGUAGCAAUACUCUGGCGGCGACCGGCGGAAGGGUAGCGUAACACGUGAGCAACUUGCCCGUGACAGGGGGAUAAGCGAUGGAAACGUCGUCUAACAUCCCGUAACACUAGAGGGGGCAUCCCCAUUAGUUGAAAACUCCGGUGGUCACGGAUGGGCUCGCGGGACAUUAGCUAGUUGGCGGGGCAACGGCCCACCAAGGCGACGAUGUCUAGGGGUUCUGAGAGGAAGAUCCCCCACACUGGAACUGAGACACGGUCCAGACUCCUACGGGAGGCAGCAGUGAGGAAUAUUGGACAAUGGAGGCAACUCUGAUCCAGCCAUGCCGCGUAGAAGGACGAAGGCCCUAUGGGUCGUAAAACUUCUUUUGUCAGGGAGCAAUAAGGGGUCACGCGUGGCCCGACGAGAGUACCUGGCGAAUAAGCAUCGGCUAACUCCGUGCCAGCCGCCGC
rnacentral:rRNA from 1 species